GACGAACGCUGGCGGCGUGCUUAACACAUGCAAGUCGAACGGUGAAGCGCCUUCCUUUUUGGUGGGUGUGGAUGAGUGGCGAACGGGUGAGUAACACGUGAGUAACCUGCCCCCUUCUUCUGGAUAACCGCAUGAAAGUGUGGCUAAUACGGGAUAUUCUGGGUCUGUCGCAUGAUGGGUCUGGGAAAGAUAUUGUUUCGGUGGGGGAUGGGCUCGCGGUCUAUCAGCUUGUUGGGGGGGUGAUGGCCUACCAAGGCGGUGACGGGUAGCCGGCCUGAGAGGGUGGACGGUACCACGGGGACUGAGACACGGCCCAGACUCCUACGGGAGGCAGCAGUGGGGAAUAUUGCACAAUGGGCGCAAGCCUGAUGCAGCGACGCCGCGUGAGGGAUGGAGGCCUGCGGGUUGUGAACCUCUUUCGCCAGUGAAGCAGGCCUGCCUCGUUUGUGGGUGGGUUGACGGUAGCUGGAUAAGAAGCGCCGGCUAACUACGUG
rnacentral:rRNA from 1 species